rnacentral:lncRNA from 1 species
GAUACCUAAAUAUCAUAUCAAAAAGGCUUGUAAUUUGCAAAACUGGCUCUAUGCUUCGCGAAAUUAGUUGCAAAACUCGCUGAAUGCGUUUGAACCAAUAGCGCGCGUUAGAAUAUUCACGUGACUUUUUGCAGCUGUUUAUGUGUUUUUACGUCUUAUUUGCAGUCGCAGCGUGUGUCAUAUUAGUUGUUAUCGUCCGUCUUAUUUCAACGAUUGUUGAUAUUGUUCAGUGUUCAAUUAUUAUUUUAACGUCUUAUUUGCUAUGGAAAUACUACAUGCUAGUUCAAGUGUUUUACCUAGCCCUGCUGGGAAAGGACGUAAGAAAGAACGUCAGCCAGAAAACUAUAAAAGAAAUGUUGCCAAGCGUAUGCGACAUUUACCACAGACUCUGGCAACGUAUCCGACCUGCAAGCAUGAUGGUCGACCAGGACAACCUUAUUAUUGCACGACACUAACGAUGGCGCAGGUCAAGGAGUGUCACGCGUACUUGUACGAAUCUAAAGACAAGAUAGAACAAGAUAGGCGAAUACUGGCUUGCUGCACGGGAAACAAACCCAAAAGAGGUAAAACAGACCACGCUCAGGUUUCUAUACAAUACAAUAUCCGUUUGAAGGAUGGGCACUUGAUAAGGGUAUGCCGAAAUGCCUUUUUGGAAAUAUCAAAUUUUAGUAAAGAUAGAAUUCAAAGGGUAAUGCGAAAUUUUGUGCUUUUCGGGGCUCUUCCAAAGGAACGCAGAGGUGGCGAUCGAGUAGGUGUAAAAAAUAUUGACAAGCAAAAAAGCAUAAAGCAAUUCAUUGAAUCAAUUCAGUGUGUUGAAUCGCACUAUUGCCGAAGCAAGUCAAGUGUCCGGAUGUAUUUACCUUGUGACCUUUCUUUUAAAAAGCUCUACAAUCAAUAUCUGGCAAAAACCCCGCAAGGUAUGCAUGUAAAAAUAAGUUAUUUCAGAAAAUAUGUAAAUGCUAAUUACAAUAUUGCAUUUGGGACCCCACAGACUGACUGUUGUUCUUUCUGCCUGAGGACGAAAGAACAGAUUAAAUCAAUGACAUCCGCGAGUGGUAGGCAUCAAUUAAUUGUGGAACAUCGCAUCCACGUAUUUUAGGCAAAAACCUUUUUCAAAUUACUUAAAUACACUAAACCAACAACAGUUACCUUUUCUUUUGAUUGUCAAAAGAAUCUGGCCUUACCACGGUUGCCUGACCAAUCUGCCUACUUUAGCCAGCAAAUUAAUUACCAUAAUUUCACAGUCGUAUGUGGUAGCUCCCAGACUCAAUUAAGAGUCACAAAUGUCUUUUCAUACUUAUGGACCGAAAUUCAAUCUCCGAAAGAUUCUAAUGCUAUAACAUCGGCUGUUCGAGAUGUUUUGAUUAACUUCAAUUUUGAAAAUUCCGUAACAAAAAUAAAUUUAUUUGCCGACGGGUGUGGCGGCCAAAAUAAAAAUACUAUAAUGAUGGCAAUGCUGGCCCACUGGCUUCAAGAAGGGGCGCCAAAAAACAUUAAAUGUCUGGAACUGAUUUUCCCGAUGGUUGGACAUUCCUUCAUCCCUCCCGACAGGGUUUUUGGUUUGGUCGAAAAGGACAUAAAGAAGACACCAGUAAUUGUCGAACCUUGUCAAUAUGAUGACAUAAUUAAAAAACAUGCCACUGUUCGAAAGUUAGGGGUUGACUGGAGACUAUUCGACUGGAGAGCAGAGACCAAAAGAGUAGUGAAGAAUCCCUCAUCGUGGCAUUUUGCCUUCAAUAAAGCAAAACGUUUCAUUUUCAUCAGGAAUAAUGGUACUGUUCUGGUGCAAGGCGAACCUAAUUAUCGCACUAAUAUUGGGCAACCUAAAGGUAUUUGCAAAAAAAAUUGCAAAGUUUCCUCGCUAUCGCCUAAAGAGAUACCAUUAGGCAAUCAAUUGAAGGGUGACAAAAGUACAAUUGACAAGUUGCUGGCUCAACAUUACGGAAACAAUUGGAGGAGUCUUCCACAAUUAACUUUCUAUAAAAGUCAUCUCACAAAGCCUGCCGCUGCACGCGAAGAAGACGAUAAGUUGGAGGGAUGCCAAAAUCAAACUGAGGAUUUUCCUGUUUGAAUAAUUUAUAUUUUGAUUUUGUUUUGACUGAAUUUCCAACAUUUAUUUUUGUUAGAAAAAAUGUUUCUUUGUUUUUUAUGCAGUUAAAUAAACGCAAUUAGGAUUUGUUUAUGCUUUCACCCUAGUUUUAAUAUUAUUAUCAUGUUUGAUUAAUAAAGGGAAGAACUAGAAGA